GUCGAGCGCGCCCUUCGGGGUGAGCGGCGGACGGGUUAGUAACGCGUGGGAAUAUGCCCAAAGGUACGGAAUAGCCUCUGGAAACGGAGAGUAAUACCGUAUGUGCCCUUCGGGGGAAAGAUUUAUCGCCUUUGGAUUAGCCCGCGUUAGAUUAGGUAGUUGGUGGGGUAAUGGCCUACCAAGCCUACGAUCUAUAGCUGGUUUUAGAGGAUGAUCAGCAACACUGGGACUGAGACACGGCCCAGACUCCUACGGGAGGCAGCAGUGGGGAAUCUUGGACAAUGGGGGCAACCCUGAUCCAGCCAUGCCGCGUGAGUGAUGAAGGCCUUAGGGUCGUAAAGCUCUUUCGCCUGUGAAGAUAAUGACGGUAGCAGGUAAAGAAACCCCGGCUAACUCCGUGCCAGCAGCCGCGGUAAUACGGAGGGGGUUAGCGUUGUUCGGAAUUACUGGGCGUAAAGCGCACGUAGGCGGAUCGGAAAGUUGGGGGUGAAAUCCCGGGGCUCAACCCCGGAACUGCCUCCAAAACUAUCGGUCUAGAGUUCGAGAGAGGUGAGUGGAAUUCCGAGUGUAGAGGUGAAAUUCGUAGAUAUUCGGAGGAACACCAGUGGCGAAGGCGGCUCACUGGCUCGAUACUGACGCUGAGGUGCGAAAGUGUGGGGAGCAAACAGGAUUAGAUACCCUGGUAGUCCACACCGUAAACGAUGAAUGCCAGUCGUCGGGUAGCAUGCUAUUCGGUGACACACCUAACGGAUUAAGCAUUCC
rnacentral:rRNA from 1 species